GACGUAGGGGGCGAGCGUUGCCCGGAAUUACUGGGCGUAAAGCGCACGCAGGCGGUUUGUUAAGCUAGAUGUGAAAGCCCCGGGCUCAACCUGGGAUGGUCAUUUAGAACUGGCAGACUAGAGUCUUGGAGAGGGGAGUGGAAUUCCAGGUGUAGCGGUGAAAUGCGUAGAUAUCUGGAGGAACAUCAGUGGCGAAGGCGACUCCCUGGCCAAAGACUGACGCUCAUGUGCGAAAGUGUGGGUAGCGAACAGG
rnacentral:rRNA from 1 species